GACGAACGCUGGCGGCGUGCUUAACACAUGCAAGUCGAACGGAAAGGCCCUGCUUUUGUGGGGUGCUCGAGUGGCGAACGGGUGAGUAACACGUGAGUAACCUGCCCUUGACUUUGGGAUAACUUCAGGAAACUGGGGCUAAUACCGGAUAGGAGCUCCUGCUGCAUGGUGGGGGUUGGAAAGUUUCGGCGGUUGGGGAUGGACUCGCGGCUUAUCAGCUUGUGGGUGGGGUAGUGGCUUACCAAGGCUUUGACGGGUAGCCGGCCUGAGAGGGUGGACGGCCACAUUGGGACUGAGAUACGGCCCAGACUCCAACGGGAGGCAGCAGUGGGGAAUAUUGCACAAUGGGCGGAAGCCUGAAGCAGCAACGCCGCGUGCGGGAUGACGGCCUUCGGGUGGUAAACCGCUUUCGCCUGUGACGAAGCGUGAGUGACGGUAAUGGGUAAAGAAGCACCGGCUAACUACGUG
rnacentral:rRNA from 1 species